rnacentral:tRNA from 1 species
AGCGCUGUACUUUAAUUAAAAGGUUUGGUUUGCGUCCAUAGAAUGUAAAAACAGUUUACCGGUGCUA